UGCUGGGUGGAUUAGUGGCGAACGGGUGAGUAACACGUGAGUAACCUGCCCUUAACUCUGGGAUAAGCCUGGGAAACUGGGUCUAAUACCGGAUAGGAGCGCCUACCGCAUGGUGGGUGUUGGAAAGAUUUAUCGGUUUUGGAUGGACUCGCGGCCUAUCAGCUUGUUGGUGAGGUAAUGGCUCACCAAGGCGACGACGGGUAGCCGGCCUGAGAGGGUGACCGGCCACACUGGGACUGAGACACGGCCCAGACUCCUACGGGAGGCAGCAGUGGGGAAUAUUGCACAAUGGGCGCAAGCCUGAUGCAGCGACGCCGCGUGAGGGAUGACGGCCUUCGGGUUGUAAACCUCUUUCAGUAGGGAAGAAGCGAAAGUGACGGUACCUGCAGAAGAAGCACCGGCUAACUACGUGCCAGCAGCCGCGGUAAUACGUAGGGUGCGAGCGUUAUCCGGAAUUAUUGGGCGUAAAGAGCUCGUAGGCGGUUUGUCGCGUCUGUCGUGAAAGUCCGGGGCUUAACCCCGGAUCUGCGGUGGGUACGGGCAGACUAGAGUGCAGUAGGGGAGACUGGAAUUCCUGGUGUAGCGGUGGAAUGCGCAGAUAUCAGGAGGAACACCGAUGGCGAAGGCAGGUCUCUGGGCUGUAACUGACGCUGAGGAGCGAAAGCAUGGGGAGCGAACAGGAUUAGAUACCCUGGUAGUCCAUGCCGUAAACGUUGGGCACUAGGUGUGGGGACCAUUCCACGGUUUCCGCGCCGCAGCUAACGCAUUAAGUGCCCCGCCUGGGGAGUACGGCCGCAAGGCUAAAACUCAAAGGAAUUGACGGGGGGCCCGCACAAGCGGCGGAGCAUGCGGAUUAAUUCGAUGCAACGCGAAGAACCUUACCAAGGCUUGACAUGUUCUCGAUCGCCGUAGAGAUACGGUUUCCCCUUUGGGGCGGGUUCACAGGUGGUGCAUGGUUGUCGUCAGCUCGUGUCGUGAGAUGUUGGGUUAAGUCCCGCAACGAGCGCAACCCUCGUUCCAUGUUGCCAGCACGUAAUGGUGGGGACUCAUGGGAGACUGCCGGGGUCAACUCGGAGGAAGGUGAGGACGACGUCAAAUCAUCAUGCCCCUUAUGUCUUGGGCUUCACGCAUGCUACAAUGGCCGGUACAAUGGGUUGCGAUACUGUGAGGUGGAGCUAAUCCCAAAAAGCCGGUCUCAGUUCGGAUUGGGGUCUGCAACUCGACCCCAUGAAGUCGGAGUCGCUAGUAAUCGCAGAUCAG
rnacentral:rRNA from 1 species